UACGUAGGGUGCGAGCGUUUGUCCGGAAUUAUUGGGCGUAAAGAGCUUGUAGGCGGUUUGUCGCGUCUGCCGUGAAAAGCCCAGGGCUUAACCCUGGGUCUGCGGUGGGUACGGGCAGACUAAGAGUGUGGUAGGGGAGACUGGAAUUCUGGUGUAGCGGUGAAAUGCGCAGAUAUCAGGAGGAACACCGGUGGCGAAGGCGGGUCUCUGGGCAGUAACUGACGCUGAGGAGCGAAAGCGUGGGGAGCGAACAGG
rnacentral:rRNA from 1 species